AUUCAUACUAAGUGGAAAAGGAGGUGAAAUUUCUCAGACAGCCAGGAGGUUUGCUUAGAGGCAGCCAUCCUUUAAAGAGUGCGUAACAGCUCACUGGUCAAGAGAUUUUGCGCCGACAAUUCAACGGGGCUCAAGUAUGAUGCCGAAACUAUGAUCCCCGGUUUACUCUCUCUAAGUCCGACUAAGGUCGGGCCAAGAGAGAGUUUACCGGGGAGGUAGGAGAGCGUUCUUGUUGCUUUGAAGUCAGACUGUAAAGUACUGGUGGAGCGGCAAGAAGUGAGAAUGCAGGCAUGAGUAGCGAAAUCUGGGUGAAAAACCCGGACACCGAAUAUCCAAGGUUUCCUUAGCUAUGUUAGUCAACUAAGGGUUAGUCGGUCCUAAGCCGAGGCCGAAAGGCGUAGGCGAUGGACAUGCUGUUAAUAUUCAGCAACCAAUGAUUUUUCGUUAUUACCUAUGGGGUGACUGAUUUGGAGAAUUGUGAAGUCUCGACAGGUCGGGAUUCAAUCAAUAAACUUAGUUUAGCCAGGCAAAUCCGGUUAAACGCAAGCCCUCGAUUUAUCGGGGAAACAAGUGAAUUGUGAUGAAGAGCUGAUGCUACGGCUGAGGCGAUUUCAUAUAUUCAAGUCACAAGAAAAACCUCUAUGGGAGAAAAAUUAUUGACCGUACCGCAAACCGACACAGGUGGAUUGGUAGAGUAUACCAAGGUGACCGAGUUAUUCUCUGUUAAGGAAUUCGGCAAAUUGCAUCCGUAACUUCGGGAGAAGGAUGUCCUAAGCAUUGUGCUUCAUUGCACUCUAAGUUUAGGAGGCACAAAAUUAGCCCAAGCGACUGUUUAACAAAAACACAGGCACCUGCCAAAUCGCAAGAUGAUGUAUAGGUGCUGACGCCUGCCCAAUGCUAGAAGAUCACGGAAGGGGGUUAUUUCCGAUUCGUCGGAAAGAAGCUUCUGACCUAAGUCCUAGUCAAUGGCGGCUGUAACUAUUAACACCAUAGUAGUUGUAAAAUUUGGCUAUAUGCUGGAAACUCCGAGUAUCUCUAAUUACUAGUAAUUUGCGUCGCAAUACAUUGUGACGAUUACAGUGAAAAUGUUAGAGUGCGGACAAUCAGCAGGAAAGAUUCUUAUGGUGCAAGUCGAUAAAAUUCCAAUUGAAAUAGGUUCUUAUAUUGCAGGAUUUACUGAUGGUGAAGGAAGUUUCAACGUUUCUUUUAAACGCAGAAGUGAUUACCGAAAUGGUAUCAAGAUAUCCGCUAGUUUCAAUAUUUCUCAAAAAGAAGUAGAGAUUCUGGAAUGGAUAAAGUCUGUUUUGAAAUGUGGAACUAUUCGUCAUCGGGGAGAUGGAGUUUACUAUUAUGAAGUCACUAAUCUAAAAGAAUUAGCGGCUUUUGUAAUUCCAUUCUUUGAUAAAUUCGAAUUAAAAACCAGAAAAUUGGAAACUUUUAAUACUUUUGUCAAAAUUGUAAAUUUGAUGCUCAAGGGCAGACAUUUACAAAGAGAUGUAGUAUUGGAAAUAUUCGACUUGCGUGAACGAAUUGUUGUUGGAAGAAAGAGGAAGUAUUCUAGAAAGGAUAUUGAAUCGAUCUUAGAUAAUUCGUCGAAAGUAGGAAAAUCCUCAGAGACUAUACGCCAAACAUCAGUUUAAGAAAUUGAACUGUAAUGAUAUAGUCCGGACUGCAUGGCGACAUGCAGAGGUAAACAGAAAUGUUUAUCCGCGAGAUUUUUCUCGUUGUAACACAAUCGAACGGUCCUAAGGUAGCGAAGUUCCUCGGCGCUUAAUAGGCGUCCCGCACGAAAGGCGUAACGACUUGGGCACUGUCUCAACAGGGAGCUCGGCGAACAUUGAAAUGGCUGUGAAGAUGCGGCCUACCCACACCAGGACAAAAAGACCCCGGGAUCUUUACUACAGCUUGUCAUUGAGAUAAAGCUCAUUUUGUAGAGUGUAGGAGGGAGACUUUGAUGUCAGGUCGCAAGAUCUGGCGGAGUCGCCAAUGUAACACCUCCCUAAGUUUGUUUUAUUUCUAACUCUUUCAGUUAUCCUGAAAGGAGACAGUGUCAGGUGGGUAGUUUGACUGGGGCGGUUUCUUACUAAAAAGUACCGUAAGAUUUCAAAGGUCGACUCAAGCUGGAUGGAAAUCAGCUUAAGAGCAUAAUGGUAUAAGUCGGCUUUACUGUGAGACUGACAGGUCGAGCAGUUACGAAAGUAGGACAUAGUGACCCUUAGGUGGCGUGUGGAAGCGCCUUUGAUUAUAGAACAAAAGUUACCCCGGGGAUAACAGGCUAGUCUUGCCCGAGCGUUCAAAGCGGCGGCAAGGUUCGGCACCUUAACCAAAGACAUUUGGGGUGCGUGUGGUAGCAAUACUGCACAUGAAAUUUGGCUUAUAACGGUGAACUCCAUUGAUGUAUAAUAGCCUUAUACAGAACAAAUUAAUGGACAAUACCGUGGGAAGUCUAACUUCAAAACAAAAGUCAGUGGUAAUAGGAACUCUUUUGGGAGAUGGUUAUUUAAGAAGAAUUUCUGGCAGGAAAGAUGCAUUUCUUGAGAUAAAUCAUUCAUAUAAACAAAAAGAUUAUGUCUUUCGGAAGUAUGAAAUACUCAAAGAAUUUGUAAAAUCUCCUCCAAAACUUCGAGAAUGCAAUUCUCGCAAAGCUUAUCGAUUCUUUACUAGGCAAAACAAUGAUUUCUCGAAAUUAUUGAGUUUGUUUUAUGAAAAUGGUAAGAAGAGAAUACCUAAAAUUACUAUUGAUCCGCUUAGUCUAGCGGUUUGGUAUAUGGAUGAUGGAAGUAGAUCGAGAGAAGAUGAUGUUUAUCUAAAUUCUCAGCAAUUUAGUUUGAGUGAUCAAGAAAGAUUGUUGAAAAUGCUCCAAAAAUUGAGAUUGGAAGCAAGAUUGAAUAAGGAUAAAGAAUAUCAUCGGAUCAGAUUUCUCAAAUCAUCUUUGCCUAGAUUUAGAAGAAUGGUUCAACCAUUUGUAAUAGAAUCUAUGCAGUACAAACUUUGAAGUUAUGACCCUGUAGAGACUUGUUCCAAUAGGGAACGGAUAUCGGAUUCACAAGAAUGAUAAAAAUUCUUGAAAAUUAUGUCCGGUAUAAUACGCCAAACUCCUGAAGACAUUAAUCAGGAUGAAGAUAUAGUCCAUUCCAUUAGUAAUAAUGGGUUUCUCAAAAAAUGCGAUGUCGGCUCGUCACAUCCUGGGGCUGUACAAGGUCCCAAGGGUUGGGCUGUUCGCCCAUUAAAGUGGCACGCGAGCUGGGUUCAAACCGACGUGAGUCAGGUUGGUCUCUAUCCGGUGUGGGCGUAAUAAAUUUGAGGGAAUUGACCCCUAGUACGAGAGGAUCGGGGUGAGGGAAUCUCUAGUGCAUCUGUUGUCGCACCAGCGGCAUAGCAGAGUAGCUACAUUCCUAUCAGGAUAAGUGCUGAAGGCAUAUAAGCACGAAACCUCUCCCAAGAUUAGAUUUAUUGGUUCCCCAGAAGAAUACUGGGUUGAUAGGCUCUAGGUGUACGUGCAGCAAUGCAUUUAGCCAAGGAGUACUAAUAGAACCUAAGCUUUUUCUUUUUUUAAUA
rnacentral:rRNA from 1 species